rnacentral:rRNA from 1 species
GCCUAACACAUGCAAGUCGAGCGAGAAAUUUUCUAGCUUGCUAGAAAAUGGAAAGCGGCGAACGGGUGAGGAAUAUGUUGACAUCUGCCCCCAAGUCAGGGAUAGCCCAGGGAAACCUGGAUUAAUACCGGAUAGUCUCUACGGAGUAAAAAUUUAUUGCUUGGGGAGGAGUCUUCAUUCUAUCAGCUUGUUGGUGAGGUAAUAGCUCACCAAGGCUAUGACGGAUAACUGGUCUGAGAGGAUGAUCAGUCACAAUGGAACUGAGACACGGUCCAUACUCCUACGGGAGGCAGCAGUGAGGAAUCUUCCACAAUGGACGAAAGUCUGAUGGAGCGACACCGCGUGAAGGAUGAAGGUCUAACGAUUGUAAACUUCUUUUCUGAAGGAGCAUAAUGAGAGUACUUCAGGAAUAAGGGACGGCUAAAUACGUGCCAGCAGCCGCGGUAAUACGUAUGUCCCAAGCGUUACCCGGAAUCACUGGGUGUAAAGGGUUCGUAGGUGGGGAAAUAAGUUGGAUAUGAAAGACCGAAGCUCAACUUCGUGUUUGUCUCCAAAACUGUUUUCCUAGAAUCAGGGAGAGGUAAGCGGAAUUCUAAGUGUAGGGGUGCAAUCCGUAGAUACUUAGAAGAACACCAAAAGCGAAGGCAGCUUACUGGAACUGUAUUGACACUGAGGAACGAAAGCGUGGGUAGCGAAAAGGAUUAGAUACCCUUGUAGUCCACGCCCUAAACGAUGAUAACUAAGUGUUGGGCAUUUGCUCAGUGCUGAAGCUAACGCGUUAAGUUAUCCACCUGAGGAGUACGG